CGGCCUCCCAAAGUGCUGGGAUUACAGGCGUGAGCCACUGCGCCUGGCCAAAUAAGCCAGCUGCAGAAUAUAUCCUGAAGUACCUGCUUUAUGGAAUUAUUCACACUAUUCACCAACAAGAAGAGAAAUGUUAUGAGAAUGACUUGGAUGACCUGAAAAAUGAAUGAGCUCCUUGAACAAGGUACGGUUAUUAAGUUUCUAUUGUGAAGUCAAAUAGAACAAUUCACUCAAAGGACACGAUGUUUGAUUGAGAACAUUCUUAAUUUUAUUUUCUUUAAUUUUAUAAAAUACACUUUGUAAGAUAAGUUUCUAAAAGUUUAUCCUUUAUGUGUGUUAAAAUUGCAAUUCUAUAUCAGAAAUGAAGGAAACACUUUCAGUUGAUUAACUCUCUUUGUGUGUGUAUAUAUGUGUAUGUAUGCAUGUGAGGUUUUCAGGGAAGGGUUGGUUAUUUGUUAUGUUAUUAAAUCAAAACAAAACGCAAGGUACGGAUUACUUCACUGUCCUUUAUCUUGAUUGGUUUCUUACAAAACAUUUUCCCUCUCCUCCCUCUAUGCAGCCUGGAAGCUUAUCUUGUAUACUGGUUUGAAAACAAGUAUCAAGUGUCUUUUUGUAAAGAUCUUACAUCUCCUUAAAUAUUUCUGAAACCACUUUGGGGGAAAAGAACAAUACAACUCUUUACAACAAAAGAGCUAUAGUACAAAUCUUUCCUUCAAUUAAAACCAAUCAGACUUUUUUUUUUUAACCCAAAGUUAACAAAAACAGGAAAAGACUGAAAUCUGGGAGCUAUUCAAGUUUCAAACUCUUUCUGCCUGUACUUUUUCCUGGAAGCUUACCAACUGAAUAGCUGAUGACUGGUGCAUUCUGUUAUGUGAUCUAUAUCAGGAGAAAAUAACCUUUAUGUUAAACCUAACUCUUAACACACCAAGAUAACACUGCUAAGUAAAAUCAUUUUCCAUUAGCUAGAAAGAACGAUUAGAUUACUCAAAUUGAGAUUCAAAUUCACCAAAUCUGUUUCUGCAAAGGCAGAAUACUUGUAGAAAAUCCCAAUAGAUUCAUUUAACUAGCCAAUUUUUAGUAUGAUUUGUGAUGCUUAAUGUCCAAUUUUCCUACUUU